CAAUUAUUGUCUCUCUGUUUUUUCUCUUCUCAAACUGAGCUCACGGAAAGGUUUUUUACCACCAAUUGUUCAAUCUUUUUCGUCUCCUCGAUCUUGACAACGUGAUCCGCAUCCUCAAGGAUAUUUUCAAUGGCUUCCAUGAACACCAAGAGAGCCUCAUCAUCUUCCUCUUCCACCCAUCGAUUGACAUAUGAAGUAUUCCUUAGUUUUAGAGGUGAGGACACCCGCAUUGGUUUUACAAGCCAUUUGUAUACUGCGUUGGAUCAAAAGGGCAUAUACACCUUUAUAGAUGAUGAAAAACUUGAGAGAGGAAAAUCAAUUUCACCUACACUCAUGAAAGCAAUAAAAGAAUCGAGGUUUGCUAUUGUCAUUCUUUCAAAAAAUUAUGCAUCUUCAACUUGGUGCCGAGAGGAACUUGAAGAGAUCAUUGGAUGCAUAACCAAGACAGGAAUGACAGUUUUACCUAUUUUUUAUUAUGUGGAUCCAUCUAAUGUACGAAAGCAGACAGGAACUUUCAAACAAGCUUUUGAUGAACAUGAAAAACGUUUCAAGGAGAACAUAGAGAAGGUGCAAAAAUGGAGAGCUAUUUUGAAAGAAGUGGCCAAUAUCUCAGGAUGGCAUGUACCAAAAAGGUCUGAGGCAGAAUGUAUCCAAGACAUUGUGGAAGUGAUAUUGAAUAAAUUGAGUAAUACAUUCUCAGCGCAUACCAUGGGACUAAUAGGAAUAGAAUCCCGAGUUGAGAAAUUGAAGUCACACUUAGCUAUAGAGUCAAAUGAUGUUCGCAUUAUAGGAAUUUGGGGGACAGGAGGAAUGGGUAAGACAACUCUUGCAAGAACUGUUUAUGGAAUGGUUUCCAAUAAAUUUGAAGCUUACUGUUUUAUUGCUAAUGUUAGGGAAGAAUCUAAAAAAUGUGGUUUAUGUAAGUUACAAAAAAAACUUUUGAAAAAACUUUUGAUGCUCAAAAAUUUGAAUUUUCAAGAUGUUGGUGAGGGAGUUCUCAUGAUGAAGAAAAUGUUACAUAACAAAAAGAUUCUUCUUGUUCUUGAUGAUGUAACUGAAUUAGACCAAUUAGAGAAGUUAGCAGGGGAGCAUUGCUGGUUUGGUUUAGGUAGUAGGAUUAUUAUAACAACAAGAGAUAAGCAUUUGUUGGUGUUGCAUGAAGUAAAGGAAAUAUAUGAGGCUGAAGUCUUGAAUCAUGAGGAAGCUCUUCAACUUUUUAGUUUGAAAGCUUUGAAAAUGGACCAUCCACCUGAAGAUUAUGGAAAGCUAUCUCAAGCUUUUGUAGAUUAUUCUAAGGGGCUUCCUUUGGCCCUUGAAGUUUUGGGUUCUUUCUUGUUCAAAAAAAGCAUUGAUGAAUGGAAAAGUGAACUUGGUAGGCUCACCGAAUUUGGUGAAAGAAGAAUUCUCGAUGUGCUUCGAAUAAGUUUCGAUGGACUACAACCAAUACAAAAGGAAAUUUUCUUAAAUAUUGCAUGCUUUUUUAAUCACAUGAAUCAAGAUGAUGUCAAAAAAAUAUUGGACUGUCUUGGGCUAUAUCCUAUAAUUGGAUUAAGGGUUCUUAUUGAUAAGUCUCUCAUUAAAUUGCAAGAAAAUCAAUUGGGGAUGCAUAGUUUACUACAAGAAAUGGGCCGAGAUAUAGUUCAUCAACAAUGCCCUGAAGACCCUAGGUGGCGUAGUAGAUUGUGGUCAUUUAAAGAUAUUGAUAAUGUGUUGACAAGAAAUACGGGAACAAUGGCAAUUCAAGGCAUAGUACUAAAGUUGUAUGAACCAAAAAAGGUAUAUCGGGAUCCUGAAGCCUUUUCAAAGAUGCAAGAUCUAAAAUUGCUUAAAAUUUGCGGUGUUCAACUUAUGCAUGGUCUCAAAUACCUUCCUAAUAGCUUAAGAUUUCUUGAUUGGAGAGGGUAUCCUUCAAAAUCGUUGACAUCAAGUUUCCAAUUACAGAGUUUUGAGAAUUUGAAAUUCAUCGAGAUGAGACAAUCUCAAGAACUUAUUGAAGCCCCAGACAUCAUUAAAGUCCCAAAUCUUGAGAGUUUGGUUCUUGCAUAUUGUAUAAAUUUAGGUAUGAUUCACCCAUCAAUUGGAAUUCAUAAAAAGCUUACUAUUCUUAAUUUAGAAGGAUGCAAGAACCUCAGAAGUCUUCCAAGCAAAUUUGAAAUGGAGUGUCUUACGGAACUUAAUCUUAGUUGGUGCUCAAAAAUAACAAAAAUUCCAGAAUUUGGGAGAAACUUGAAACAUGUACGCAGGCUUAAUUUAAGUUGUACUGCAAUUACAACACUACCCACGUCAAUUGAGCAUUUGACUGCCCUUUGUUCUUUGCGUUUAAGUUAUUGCAAAAAUCUUGUGCGUUUACCUAAUACCAUUUUUAAUUUAAAGUUGGUUAGAGAAGUCUUUCUCCAGGGAUGCUCAAAACUGGAUAGACUGCCAGAGAACCUAGGGAAUGCCGAAAGUCUAGAGGAGUUGUAUUUGAGCGAAACUGCUAUAAGAAAGGUCCCUUCUUCCAUUGGUCUCUUAAAACAUCUUAAUGGGCUAUAUAUCAGUGGAUGUAAGGGGUUAUCAUCUAAUAAAUUGUGGUAUGAGCUCCUCCCGUUUUAUUCAAUGCCAACAAGCCCUGAUCCCAUGGACUUGCUAUUCUCUUCUCUAUCUCUAUCAGGUGUGUCUUCUUCAACCUACUUGUAUUUGAAUGACUGCAAUCUCAAGUUGGAUCUAAGUGUAAAUGAUUUUGUUUGCCUUCCGGAAAGCAUCAUUCGACUUUCGAAAUUGAAAUGGAUGAAGUUGAAUUAUUGCACAAGUCUUCGAUCAUUGCCAAAGCUUCCAUUGAAUAUUAAAUGGGUUGAGGCAGAAGGUUGUAUCUCAUUGGAAAUGUUACCAGAUCCAUUAAAACCAAGCGAUUCAUUGGAACCAUCUCUCUAUCUUCAUAAUUGCUUUAAAUUGGCUGGCAAUCAAAGCUGCAUAGAUUGGUUUAUCUCAGGGAUAAAAAAGUACCUCAAGCUCUCUCCCUCUCUCCCUCUCUCAGUCCUAGAAGAGUCAUAUAACCUUGUUAUUCCUGGAAGUGAAAUUCCUGAGUGGUUUAGCCACCAAAGCAUGGGGAAUGAAGUGAAAAUAAAACAACCUUCUCAUUUGUGUAAGAACGUGGGAAUUGCAAUUUGCGUUGUGUUUUGUACGCAUGAUGUUGAUCCAAAUCAAUUCCCCCCCUUUCUUAGCUAUUCGUUGAUAGCCAAUGGAAAAGAAAUUUAUAUUGGUAACGGACCUGAUGGUACCGAAAUUUAUAGGGUUUCAUCUGAUCACCUUUGGCUAGUCUAUCUAACUCCUCAAUUCUUCGACGAGGAAUCAAAUAAAUUAUUGUGGGAAGGUGACGUGAAUGGAUUCAAUCAGAUUAGAAUUGAAAUUCAAACCAUAGAUUCAAGUUUUAAGGUAAAAAAAUGGGGGUUCCGUAUGAUACACAAGAAAGACAGAGAAGAUCUUGACCGAACAAUGGUCCAAUAUAGCAACAACAGCAUUACUCCUUAUGAUGGCAUGGAUGUUGUCCAUCAUAAUUUUGACCAUUCGUCAGUGGUAGUGGAAUGUCACAAAGUCAAGCGCAGUCGUGAUGAUUACAAUGGGGCUGGACCCAGUGGAGAAGGAAGCUCAAAAAGGAUUAAAAGGCACACAGAAACCAAUGGUAACUCUGAUUCUGAGGAGUCAAGUGAGUACAAGGACUGUGAUGAGGAGUUAAGCAAUUGUGAAGAAUCUAAUGAACGUAACACUGAUGGUUAAUCAACUUUUCAGCCCAUUUUCGAUCAUGACCAAGGCCAUCCACCCAUGCCCAUUUCACAUGUUCAUCCUUAUAGUAAUUAGACCCAAGCAGGAAAGCAAGUAUUUAACAAGAUUGAAAAUGGGAGAAGGGUAACGAACAUUUCAAAAAACAAAGAAAAGCCUCAACAGCAGCAAGAUAAGCAAAUCCAGACCUUUAGAGAGGGUUUAACUGCAACCAAUCCUGUUGGAGGAGAGCUGCAAGGGUAGGAGAUGGAAAUAGCGGGGAUCCAAUUUCUUUUUUAAAAAUAGAGAAUGUGCAUGUCCAUAGCUGCUUCUGAGGAAUCAAGUGAGUGAUUAGUGACCUGAGAAUUUUUUUCAUUGGAAGGAGAAGUGACCUGGAAGGUUGAUCAACGUUUUUCUCUCUAUCACCUGUAAGUCACCAUCCUUCUUAAUUUGAGUUUUGUUGGUUGAUGCAUCAUCGCUUUCCCUUUCCUUUGGCAUAUAGUUGUACUCUUUUGGGUUAAUUUUAACUUAAAAAUAGUUUCUUGCUAGCUGUACCUUAGUUAAUUAUUAGCACUUAUUCAAACUCCCCUCUGGUUUGUUUCCUUAAUCAAAAAACACAAAGCAAUACUCCUAGCUAAUUUGAUAUUCAUAUAAAAAACAGAGUCUUAUGAAAUAAACAAUGAUUAGGGUCAUCUUGGUUUAGUUUAAAAUUUUUCAAGGUCCAAAAACAAUAUAUGCAUGCCACUGCAAACAUUACAAUCGAAAUUAAUUUUUAUCUCAUGACAAAUUAUGUAUGUGAAGUCAUGCAUAGAUCGCAAUCAGAAUGAUUAGUCUAGCUAGGGGUAGCAUCAAGCUUCCUCCCUAGUUGAAAGUUCUCUAAAGUUGUGUACUAAUUUUCAACCAAAGAAAAUGCUUUUUUUUUUUUCUGUUGAAGAGAAUAGAUGUGUUUUCUGUUCUAGUUCUUGUUCCUUUUAUUUUUGUUUUGCGCCGAAAAUUCUUACUAAUUUAAAGUAUGACAACAGUUAUAUAACUUUCCCCACUCCACUUGCUAUAUAGCUAAGACAAUCAGGAUUCCAAUUCUAAAAUGUACAAACUUUACAAUCAAAUUUAGUUAUAAAAUUUAAAGUCUUCCGCAAUGAGGAACUUGAUGAUAACUUUUAUGAGGAAUUAAUUUGGAUAUUUAAAAUUUCUGUAAAGAACAAAUCGUUAAAACAAGUUCUUGAUACAUCCAAAUAUCAACAUCAUUGACAACUGAUCAUAUCAGAAUAAUUAGUCUUCCUAGAGGUUGUGUCUAGCUUCCUUCCUUGUUGAAGGUUUUUUAGGGUUGUUUACUAACCUGAAACCAAAGCAGAUGCUCUUUUUCUGAUUAAGAGAAUAACUGAUUUUUUUAUUCUUUUCUUUUUAUUUUUUUAUUUUGCUUUUCUCUGAAUUUUUAUUAUUUAAAAGUAGGACAACAACCAUAAAGUUACUAAAAUGACUUGUAUUAGCAUGUUUGAGGAAAUUGUUAUUGCAAUCUCAUAAUGCAACAAUCUUUAGAAUCAAAUCAUGGUUAGUGAUUGUUCAAAAUUUUCAACCAUGAGGAGCUUGAUCAUAACUUAACUUAAUGGGGAAUUAAUUUUGAUAUGCAAAAUUUCUUCAAUGACCAAGUCAUUACCAUGUUCUCGAUAUAUCCAAAUAUUGUCACGUUGUUGACAAUUGAUCAGUUCAUUGAUCAACAGAGAAAGGUCUGCAUCAGUAGCAGUAAUAUUCUUGGUGAACUGCAUUUAGUCCAAUUUUAUGCGUCACCAAAAAAAUGUUGUGAAUGACUGCAUAAUAUUCAAUUGUUAGACCUGUCUUGUCAGAUCUAUGAUUUACCAUAACAUAAGUGUGUUUGGAUCUAUUACUAAAUGACCUUAGCCAUCUGAUGCCUUUAUUCAAUGUUGGGAAAUCAUCAAAGACUUCAUCUUCCCAUGUAAUGCUUGUGAAGAAGAAUUGAUCAUGAGCAGGGCAAAACUGUUAAUGCUCAUUUCACAGGAUAAAACAAACCAGAAUACUUAUCUCCAUAGGCAAGCAACUGUGCAGAAAAGGCUGAAAAUUAGAGAAUGUAUCCUGCUUUGAUUGGACCUGAUUAGAGAGCUGUACUCUCCAGAAGUGGGUGCUCAAAUUUUAGCUAUCCCUAUCUCAAGCUGUUGAGUUACUGAUAAGCUGCUAUGGCCUCAUACAACACAACAUAUUUUGUUUUGUAGGUAUGCACAAGCCUAUGAUGCACAACAUGUUGAUUAGGGUAACUAGUGGAGUGUACCAGGGCGAGUGUGUCCAGUCGUGGAAGGAUGGCAAGUGUUGCUGACAGUUGAGGGGCGCUGGCAGAGCAGGUGCAAAUGGGUUUUUUUUUGCCUAUGUAGCUAAAUCAUGUGCUGGCAGAUAAUUUGUUGGCUGUUCCAGUAAAGCCAUAUGCAAACGAGUGGAAGCAUACUGUUUGAGAAGCAUUUUUUCCAGGCUUGUUUUGGUUAGUGGAAGAUUGGAGGACCUGUG